AGCUACUUGAGACGGACGAGCUGACGAGCUU
rnacentral:sRNA from 1 species